ACUUAUCGGACUGGAAUCCGGGUCUGGUAUCCGGGCCCGCGUCCGCACGGUCUCGGACAGAAGGGUGGAUGGGAGCCCGGCUCCGGGCCUGACUGGGACCUGUGUGGUGCUGGCUGCAGGGUGCGCAGGGCGUCACGCCGCGGGGCCUUUGGUUGGGUGGAUUUGCCGAGGGAGACGCGGCGCUGAGCCUGCCCGCGCCGUUGCUUUCCCAGUCCCAGCCCUGGGCCCCAUUUCCAGCCCACUUCGCCCCCGUGCGGGCCCCCAGCCUCUUCAAGUCCACUUUCAACUGCCUCUCCUCCUCCCCACCCCACUUACGUCAGGUCGCUGUGGUUCCCCUCCGACCUGGCAGAGCUGCGGGAGCUCUCUGAGGUCCUUCGAGAGUACCGGAAGGAGCACCAGGCCUACGUGUUCCUGCUCUUCUGCGGCGCCUACCUCUACAAACAGGGCUUUGCCAUCCCCGGCUCCAGCUUCCUGAAUGUUUUAGCUGGUGCCUUGUUUGGGCCAUGGUUGGGGCUUCUGCUGUGCUGUGUGUUGACCUCGGUGGGUGCCACAUGCUGCUACC
rnacentral:sRNA from 1 species